UACGAAGGGGGCUAGCGUUGUUCGGAAUUACUGGGCGUAAAGGGCGCGUAGGCGGUCCUUCAAGUCAGGCGUGAAAGCCCCGGGCUCAACCUGGGAACCGCGCUUGAGACUGGCGGGCUAGAGUUCGGGAGAGGAUGGUGGAAUUCCCAGUGUAGCGGUGAAAUGCGUUGAUAUUAUGGGGAACACCAAAAGCGAAGGCAGCAGACUGGAGCACUCCUGACACUGAAACAAGAAAGCGUGGGUCGCGAAUGGG
rnacentral:rRNA from 1 species